rnacentral:rRNA from 1 species
GUUUACGGCCAUACCACCCUGAACACGCCCGAUCUCGUCUGAUCUCGGAAGCUAAGCAGGGUCGGGCCUGGUUAGUACUUGGAUGGGAGACCGCCUGGGAAUACCAGGUGCUGUAAGCCUUU